UACGUAGGGGGCAAGCGUUGUCCGGAUUUAUUGGGCGUAAAGAGCGUGUAGGCGGCUUCACAGGUCCGCUGUGAAAACUUGAGGCUCAACCUCGAGCUGUCGGUGGAAACCGUGUGGCUAGAGUCCGGAAGAGGAGAGUGGAAUUCCCGGUGUAGUGGUGAAAUGCGUAGAUAUCGGGAGGAACACCUGUGGCGAAAGCGGCUCACUGGACCACAACUGACGCUGAGGCGCGAAAGCUAGGGGAGCAAACAGG
rnacentral:rRNA from 1 species